ACAGCUUCUUGCAGGCCCGUUUCUGAUGACGGCAAGCGCGGCGGCACGGUUCGUGCUCCGCUGCUCUCCGCCCACAUUUCCCGGCGGAGCUCGCCGGGGCGGGGGCCGCGGACGGCGGCUCCGCUCGGGGUGGGCGCGCUGGCAGGCUCGCCGCCCCGCGGGGAUGCGCGCAGCGGCGCGGGGGCGGGAUCGCGCCUCGCUCCCCUCAGAGCUGCGGCCUCAGCCCGGCCCCGCCGCCCGCCUCCCUCCCUGCCCCGCUGUCAGAGCCGCCCGCCCGCGUGGCAGCGGGGCACGGCGGGGCGUGCGGCGUCUCCCUGCGGUGGCUGCUUUGGUACUGGGGGAUGACAGCACGCUCCAUCCAUCCAUCCAUCCAUCCAUCCAUCCAUCCAUCCAUCCAUCCAUCCCUGAGUGGGCGGCGGCUCGUGUGUGUGUGUGACUGACAGUGAGGCGCGCACAGCGCGGGGGCAGCCGCUCACACGCAGCCCGCCGGGGCCACGCCGGCGCGCCCCGGCUGCGGCACGCACUUCUCCGUCCCCCGGAGCCCUCCCCGGUGGGGACAACCUCAGCGGCCUCGCUGCUCGUCCUCCUCCUCCCUCCUGGCGGGUAGGUUACAUUACCUGGUCUCUAGCUCGGACUGGAUCUAAUCCCGCGGCCGCCGCCGGCUCCUCUCCCGGCCGCGGGGGAUCUUCGCCUUCUGAAACGGGAACUGAAAUUUGGCGUGUCAGCAUCGAGUUGCUGAUGAAAAUCUUGGUCACCUCAGCAUUUGCCGUCUUUUUGUCUCCUUAAGAAAAAAAAAAAAUUAUGAAAACUGUUUUGCCAAGUCUUUCAGAUUCAGGAGGGAAUACUUUGCCACAUGUCUGUAAAGCAGCCAGCUCCCUACAGUCUCUGGGCAGAUUCUGGCGCUGUACUCAUAAGGAACAGUAAGUAGUUCACUGGUAGAGAGGGCAAACACUGUUCUUCCCAAAACAAACUGAGCAAUGUGGAGUCAAUUUGUGACAUUGCAUAAGCUAAGUAGUGCUUGAGUUACAUAUCUGAGUCCAGGGGCAUUUUUAGGAGCAAACAUUGUGACUGCAGGGCAGCAAGUGGAAGUCACAGUUGCAUUAAUUUAGGUAGCAAUAUCAGUCAUCUCUUGUGCAAGUAUGUCAAAGGAGCCUGUGCCCAGCACGCUCCCAGUCACAGUGUCUGUCCUGGCAGCAGGUUGCACUACAGGCUUUGGAAGACCAAGGACCCACGAGGGGCCCACUAAACCUGUUUGUUGGAGGGGAGAACAGACACUGAGCCAUGACUCUUGGACAUGCAUGCAAAGAAAACUUGGGUACUGAUGCCCAUGGUCAAACUCUUCCAAGCAGGCCCACAACUACGGGGUAAAAAAUGUUGAAAUUAGGAUGAAAUUUGAUGUAAAAUAUUUUGUUAAAAAAGCUUCCAGUGCUAAAUUAAAGUUGUAUACGUGGCAUUACAGCAGUCUAAAUCUGUCUUCCAUAUUCAAGCACUUUUUAUGCUCUGAAGAAAAUUGUAGGACCUCAGACAGUUCCUGUAAAAUGCAAAGCAUGUCUACAAUGCCCUUUACAGUGAAAUAGUAAAGUUUGCUUGCUGUUUUAUAUAAUUUUAAGAAAGUCAUUUUCAAAGAGAGCUGAAAAAUAAAUACAUGAGGAUAGAAAUGAUUCCUCAUUUUCACUGCAACCUUCUAUUUCCUCCAUGGAUAUGCCCUAACUAAAAUAAAUAUAUAUUUAUAUAGAUAUAUAUUUUUAAUUUAUAAAUGUAUGCUAUAUAUUAUACACAAUAAAUUUACACAGUGUAAAAUUUAUAAUUUUACACUUAGAUAUGAUAAGGUAUAUCACACAGGCAGUAUUUGCUGUACUACAUAGUACAUACUGCAUGCUGUAUGCUGUAUGUGACAGUGCUGCAUACAGUGCAAGUUGAUGUAUUCUGUGCUUGUAAAUAAAUUUGUAUUUAUAUUAUACUGCAUACAUUAACAUCUAUAUAGAAAUAGAAGAUUGUGUUAUCAUAUGUUAACCAUUACAGGCAUAAACAUCUUCUGUAUAUGCCUAUGUUCCUCAUGCACCUUCUUUCAAUACCGCCUCUUUUCAGACCACUCUCUGUAGGAAAGGUGAUCUUCAUUGACUCACUGUUGCUGUGUGUUUCAUUCCAUUUGGUGCUUUCUAGUCCAAGGCAGAGUCUGAACAUAAGCUAGCUGCAGAGAAAAAGAAAAUGCUACAGGUGUUGAAUACCUGAUGGUACUUUUUGUAAGUCUCUCCACUAACUGUUUGGCUCAUGGUGACACAGAACACAGCACACUGUAACUACAGGAACAGACUUGACUGUGAAAGAUCUCUAUCAGGCAUCACAGAGAAUUUGAGGCAGCUGGCAGUUAUCAGCUGAAGCAGUUAGUCAGUAGAACUGUACAAGAUAAAUAGAUAAUUGAAAAGCCAUCUGGAAACCUGGGAGAGAUAACAAGCCUGUCUUCUAGAAGUGAGGUAACAACUCAGACAAGAAUCAUUGCAACCUGUGGACCCUUCUGGUGCCUUUUCUGCUGAUGAACUGCUUUGCAGAUGUUUCAGAGGGAACUGAGUUGUUCUCUAAUCUCCAUCUGAACACAGACAAAAAUUAUGGCAUCAUGUGAAAUGUACUGUCAGUUUCCGUCUUGCAGUUCUCUACAGGAUGAAAUUCCCAGCAACUUGAAAAAUACAUUUAAAAAUAUAUUUUAAUCACUAAGUUCCUGACAAAAAUAGUGAAAAAAAUCUUUCCUGAGUUUCUCCUAAAGACAAAUAAGGAUUCUGUAAAAUUGUUGGAUCUUUGCUUGUCAUUUGCUGUGACUCGUGCCUGUCAUACAACAGUACCCGAAGCUAUUGGCCAAGUAAAGCAAUCUUGGACAUCUUCGUGUGCUUUUGUUCUGAAAAUGCGUAUCAAUAUACAUCUUGGAUCUCUCAGGCUUAUUCAAUGCAUUUAAGAUAUUAACAGGAUUAUUUGAGUUGGUAACCUGAAAUAAUCUGGCACUGCAUUUAUUGAUGUACAAGAUUAUUCUGAAUUUUGUGUCUAAAUGUCUUAUAUACCUUACAGUUCCAUGUGAAUAAAAUACUUUGCUUUAAACAUA